rnacentral:rRNA from 1 species
GAUGAACGCUGGCGGCGUGCCUAAUACAUGCAAGUCGAGCGAAUGGAUUAAGAGCUUGCUCUUAUGAAGUUAGCGGCGGACGGGUGAGUAACACGUGGGUAACCUGCCCAUAAGACUGGGAUAACUCCGGGAAACCGGGGCUAAUACCGGAUAACAUUUUGAACCGCAUGGUUCGAAAUUGAAAGGCGGCUUCGGCUGUCACUUAUGGUUGGACCCUCGUCGCAUUAGCUAGUUGGUGAGGUAACGGCUCACCAAGGCAACGAUGCGUAGCCGACCUGAGAGGGUGAUCGGCCACACUGGGACUGAGACACGGCCCAGACUCCUACGGGAGGCAGCAGUAGGGAAUCUUCCGCAAUGGACGAAAGUCUGACGGAGCAACGCCGCGUGAGUGAUGAAGGCUUUCGGGUCGUAAAACUCUGUUGUUAGGGAAGAACAAGUGCUAGUUGAAUAAGCUGGCACCUUGACGGUACCUAACCAGAAAGCCACGGCUAACUACGUGCCAGCAGCCGCAGUAACAC